rnacentral:rRNA from 1 species
CCUACGGGAGGCAGCAGUGGGGAAUAUUGCGCAAUGGGGGCAACCCUGAAGCAGCAACGCCGCGUGAUUGAAGAAGGCCUUCGGGGUGUAAAGCUCUUUAAGCGGGGACGAAAUUGGACGGUACCCGAAGAAUAAGCUCCGGCUAACUACGUGCCAGCAGCCGCGGUAAUACGGAGGGAGCAAGCGUUAUCCGGAUUUACUGGGUGUAAAGGGGGUGUAGGCGGGAAUGCAAGCCAGAAGUGAAAUCUUGGGGCUUAACCCCCAAACUGCUUUUGGAACUGCGUGGCUUGAGUGAUGGAGAGGCAGGCGGAAUUCGUGGUGUAGCGGUGAAAUGCGUAGAUAUUAGGAGGAACACCAGUGGCGAAGGCGGCCUGCUGGACAUCAACUGACGCUGAGGCGCGAAAGCGUGGGGAGCAAACAGGAUUAGAUACCCGUGUAGUC